rnacentral:rRNA from 1 species
GAGUUUGAUCCUGGCUCAGGACGAACGCUGGCGGCGUGCCUAAUACAUGCAAGUCGAACGCACGAAGUUGAAGAGCUUGCUCUUUAACCAAGUGAGUGGCGGACGGGUGAGUAACACGUGGGUAACCUGCCCAUUAGAGGGGGAUAACAUUCGGAAACGGAUGCUAAUACCGCAUAGUUUCAGGGAUCGCAUGAUUCUUGAAGGAAAGGUGGCUUCGGCUACCACUAAUGGAUGGACCCGCGGCGUAUUAGCUAGUUGGUGAGGUAAUAGCUCACCAAGGCAAUGAUACGUAGCCGACCUGAGAGGGUGAUCGGCCACACUGGGACUGAGACACGGCCCAGACUCCUACGGGAGGCAGCAGUAGGGAAUCUUCCGCAAUGGACGAAAGUCUGACGGAGCAACGCCGCGUGAGUGAAGAAGGUUUUCGGAUCGUAAAACUCUGUUGUUAAAGAAGAACAAGGAUGAGAGUAACUGCUCAUCCCCUGACGGUAUUUAACCAGAAAGCCACGGCUAACUACGUGCCAGCAGCCGCGGUAAUACGUAGGUGGCAAGCGUUGUCCGGAUUUAUUGGGCGUAAAGCGAGCGCAGGCGGUUCUUUAAGUCUGAUGUGAAAGCCCCCGGCUCAACCGGGGAGGGUCAUUGGAAACUGGAGAACUUGAGUGCAGAAGAGGAGAGUGGAAUUCCACGUGUAGCGGUGAAAUGCGUAGAUAUGUGGAGGAACACCAGUGGCGAAGGCGACUCUCUGGUCUGUAACUGACGCUGAGGCUCGAAAGCGUGGGGAGCAAACAGGAUUAGAUAC